AUUAUAUACACAUUAUAUUGAUAACAUUUUAUCUACAUUAUAUACAACAUACAGUGCUCAAAGAAGUGUGCCAGUUUCCCUGUUAUUUUGACCAGUUCCUGUGUGUACAGUAAAUAUUUUACGAUAUAAUACAAAUAGCUCGUUGCAGGAAUGAGUCC